AAAGACUCAGUCCUAACCUUACAGUUAGUUUUUGCUAGAUAUAUACAUGCAAGUAUCCGCGCCCCAGUGUAAAUGCCCUUAAUUCCUUACCAAGACAAGAGGAGCAGGUAUCAGGCACGCCCAUAAACUGCUGCAGCCCAAGACGCCUUGCUUAGCCACACCCCCACGGGUAUUCAGCAGUAAUUAACAUUAAGCAAUGAGUGCAAACUUGACUUAGUCAUAGCAUCCUCAUAGGGCUGGUAAAUCUUGUGCCAGCCACCGCGGUCACACAAGAAGCCCAAAUUAACUGUAUCACGGCGUAAAGAGUGGUACACGUACUAUCACUCAACCUAGGAUCAAAAUGUAACUAAGCUGUCAUAAGCCAAAGUUACAUCUAAAGUCACCAUUAAAGUUAUCCUAGCAAACCUGAAAGAUCAGACCCCACUAAAGCUAGGGCACAAACUGGGAUUAGAUACCCCACUAUGCCUAGCCCUAAAUCUUGGUACUUAACCCCACCAAAGUACCCGCCCGAGAACUACGAGCACAAACGCUUAAAACUCUAAGGACUUGGCGGUGCCCCAAACCCACCUAGAGGAGCCUGUUCUAUAAUCGAUAACCCACGCUACACCCAACCGCCUCUAGCCCAAAGCAGCCUACAUACCGCCGUCGCCAGCUCACCUCCACUGAGAGAGCAACAGUGAGCACAACAGCCCUUCCCGCUAGCAAGACAGGUCAAGGUAUAGCUUAUGGGGCGGAAGAAAUGGGCUACAUUUUCUACUGGUAGAAGACACGGAAAGAGAUAUGAAAUUAUCUCUAGAAGGCGGAUUUAGCAGUAAAGAGAGAUAAUAAAACCCCCUUUAAAUCGGCUCUGGGGCACGUACAUACCGCCCGUCACCCUCCUCACAAGCUACAAAUUCCAAUAACUAAUACCACCACAAGCUAAAGAUGAGGUAAGUCGUAACAAGGUAAGUGUACCGGAAGGUGCACUUAGAAUAU
rnacentral:ncRNA from 1 species